GAAAUGCGAUAAGUAAUGUGAAUUGCAGAAUUCAGUGAAUCAUCGAAUCUUUGAACGCACAUUGCGCCCCUUGGUAUUCCAAGGGGCAUGCCUGUUCGAGCGUCAUAUAAACCCCUCAAGCUCAGCUUGGUGUUGGGGCCUGCCGCCUGGCAGCCCUUAAAAUCAGUGGCGGUGCCAUCUGGCUCUAAGCGUAGUAAUUCUUCUCGCUAUGGAGUCCCGGUGAAUGCUUGCCAUCAACCCCCAAUUUUCUAUGGUUGACCUCGGAUCAGGUAGGGAUACCCGCUGAACUUAA
rnacentral:misc_RNA from 1 species